GACCGGCGAAGAACAAGAAGAGGAGCCGAGCAUCAGCAGCCGCCGUGGACUCCAGGACAGAGGCACAAAUUUAAGGCAGAAGCGGUGACAAAGCGCGUCUCCAACGUCCGCGCCACGACUUUACGCGCUUGGAUCGUUCCUUUUCUCGGUUACGCACGAGUUGGCACAGCUCUGGCGCCAGGCUGCUCCCCAAAAAAAACACCAAAACCUAGCGAUCCUGUAGUUUGAUCCGCACUUUAGACUUGCAAAAGGGUCACAGGGACAAUUUGUGGAUAACUACACCAAGUUUUUUUGUGAGUGGUUUUGUGAAUUUUUUUUGGACUCUGAACAGUGAUGUGCGAGUAGCCUGUUCGCGUAGGAGGAGGCAGAGGGGCACAAAAGAACCGCGAGCGCAUCUACCCAGGAGAGGCAGGAGGAGGAUCAGGAUCAGGACUGACACGGGACAGAAGCAGAAGCAGAAGAGGAGACCCACCAGCGCGUCAUACAACCCCUAACAAAACCACACCACAGCCUCUUUACGCGCGUUUCAUCCAAAAACAUCAGUUGCCUCUCUCGUGGGAUUCCUGUCUCUCCACACUGUCCCGAUGAAGGAGGCCGAUGCCAUUAAGCUUUUUGUGGGGCAGAUUCCCCGAAAUCUGGAAGAAAAAGACCUCAAGCCUAUUUUUGAGCAGUUUGGCAAAAUCUAUGAGCUAACGGUGAUAAAGGACAAAUACACAGGGAUGCACAAAGGAUGUGCGUUUCUCACAUACUGUGCGAGGGAGUCUGCGCUCAAAGCCCAGAGCGCUCUACACGAGCAGAAGACCCUCCCCGGGAUGAACCGGCCGAUCCAGGUGAAGCCGGCGGACAGCGAGGGCAGAGGAGAGGACAGAAAACUGUUUGUGGGCAUGUUGGGAAAACAGCAGAGCGAUGAAGACGUCAGGCGGCUGUUUGAACCCUUCGGAAGCAUAGACGAGUGUACUGUGCUCAGAGGACCCGACGGCACCAGCAAAGGAUGCGCAUUCGUAAAAUUCCAGUCUCAUGCCGAGGCCCAAGCGGCAAUCAACAGUCUCCACGGCAGCCGCACGAUGCCGGGGGCGUCGUCGAGCCUCGUGGUGAAGUUCGCAGACACAGAGAAGGAGAGAGGGCUCCGGAGGAUGCAGCAGGUGGCCUCUCAGCUCGGCAUCUUCAGCCCCAUGACCCUCAACUUCCCCGCAUACAACGCAUACACACAGGCCGUCAACGCACAGCUUGUCCAACAGCAGGCCCUGGUUGCCCAGUCAGCGUACUUGUCUCCGGUGGCAACAGUUGCCGCGGUACAGAUGCAGCAGAUGGCGGCUCUCAACGCCAACGGGAUCAUCGCCGCGCCCAUCACACCCAUCACACCGUCGUCGGGUACAAACACUCCGCCCACAAUUGCGGCUACACCUGUGCCAGCGCUGCCUCCACCGAUCGGAGUCAACGGAUACAGCAGUGUUCCUGCCCCCACCAACGGACAACAAGCAACCGAGACACUGUACACCAACGGGGUUCAUCCAUAUCAAGCCCAAAGCCCGGCUGCUUUGGACCCUCUACAGCAGGCUUAUGCAGGAAUGCAGCAUUACACAGCGGCGUACCCGGCUGCGUACGGAUUGGUCGGGCAGCCGUUCCCCCAGCAACCCACAUUGGUUACCCAGCAACACCAGCAGCCCCAGCAACAGCAGCAGAGAGAAGGUCCGGAGGGCUGUAACAUCUUCAUUUACCACCUGCCCCAGGAGUUCAGCGACUCCGAGAUGCUCCAAAUGUUCCUCCCUUUCGGCAAUGUCAUCUCCGCCAAAGUGUUUGUGGACCGCGCCACAAAUCAGAGCAAAUGCUUCGGAUUUGUAAGUUUUGACAACCCCGCGAGCGCUCAGGCCGCCAUCCAGGCCAUGAACGGAUUCCAGAUCGGGAUGAAGAGGCUCAAAGUGCAGCUGAAGAGGCCGAAAGACGCCAACCGCCCGUACUGAGCCGCACUGUGGACACGACAGACAUAAGAUGAGACCCUCCUGUCCAAUCAUAUUUCAUGAGGACCCUGGCUAUGAUAAGCUCUGACCCCUUCCUCUCACGGUGUUGUGACUUUUCGGAGACCGUUUUUUGGAGAAAGAAGAAGAAGGAGGAGGAGGAGGAGGAAUCCCAGGGUUCAUUGUGCUUUCCGACUGCCUGCUACCUUUAGAGCGUUUUAGGAGUGCGGCGUCAUCGUCCUCAGCAGAAGCUCGCAGCACUCGCCCCACGCUCCAGCUAUCGGUGAACGGACCAAUACAAACAAAAUGUACAUAACGUGCACAAACACAACUUCCUUGCUAACAUAACUGCAAGAUACGUACUCAAAUACUUACCUUCUGCCUGGUAUGACGUCUGACCGUAAGAGUGGAAUUUGCCAAGUUAUAAAAAUGGUUUGUAAAAAAAAAAAAAAAAAAAAACAACUACUGCUGUAUCACUCCAAAACACUUGUCUAUACUAUGUCUAUUACAGGACAAAUAUAGAGGGACUGAUGUUUCAUAGUUAAAAGUGAAGAAAAAUCAAAAAAUGCAACUACAAAUGUAGGUUAGAACGAGUCAGGAGAGGAGAGCUGUAAAUAUUUUAGUUUACAAAGAGCAGCAUUUAAAAUCAACACUAGAAAAAUGCAAAAAUAAUACGAGUUUAGAUAACACUGAACAGACACGUCAUUAUUAUUAUUAUUAUUAUUAUUAUUAUUACUUAUUAAGUCAAGACAAAUCGCC